GGGGUGGUCGUGAGUUGAGGCGGAGAGAAGGAGGAGGACGGUCACGGUGGGAGGGAAGAAGUUUUUGAACAUGACUCAUCAUCAGUAAUCAAAUCUUACAUGGCUGCUGAAACCCCUACAACUUCACCUUUGUGAUCGAUAUGAUCAUAUCAGAGAUGAUCUCCGAGACUACUUUGAAGCGUCGGAUCACUUGAAUGGUCAAACAGAGAGGACCCCACGUCUGUUCUCGAACAGUUUACAUACCCCCAUGGUCCGCACAAAGCUGCUUCUGAAUGGCAAGGUGGUAGAUGAAUGGCAGAGGUGAGCAUACGCCGAUGGAAGUGAAG